rnacentral:rRNA from 1 species
AAUUUCGGGGCGGCUUCGUCCUCUGCCGAUGGGUAUGCACUGACGCGGGCGUCCUUCCUUCCGGCAGACGCGUCCUACUCUUAGCUGAGCCGGGGCGUGGAGACGGACUCGUUUACUUUGAAAAAAUCAGAGUGCUUCAAGCAGGCAUCAUCGCUCUUGCAUGGAUUAGCAUGGGAUAAUGAAAUAGGACCUUGGUGCUAUUUUGUUGGUUUCGAGCACCGAAGUAAUGAUUAACAGGGACAGUCAGGGGCACUCGUAUUCCGCCGACAGAGGUGAAAUUCUCAGACCAGCGGAAGACGAACCACUGCGAACGCAUUUGCCAGGGAUGUUUUCACUGAUCAAGAACGAAAGUCAGGGGAUCGAAGACGAUCAGAUACCGUCGUAGUCUUAACCAUAAACCAUGCCGACUAGGGAUUCGAGGAUGUCCACUUUUGACUCCUUCAGCACCUUACGGGAAACUAAAGUCUUUGGGUUCCGGGGGGAGUAUGGUCGCAAGGCUGAAACUUAAAGGAAUUGACGGAAGGGCACCACCAGGAGUGGAGCCUGCGGCUUAAUUUGACUCACACGGGGAAACUUACCAGGUCCAGACAUUGUGAGGAUUGACAGAUUGAGAGCUCUUUCUGAUUCAUGGG